GACGAACGCUGGCGGCGUGCUUAACACAUGCAAGUCGAACGGAAAGGCCCUGCUUUUGUGGGGUGCUCGAGUGGCAAACGGGUGAGUAACACGUGAGUAACCUGCCCUUGACUUUGGGAUAACUUCAGGAAACUGGGGCUAAUACCGGAUAGGAGCUCCUGCUGCAAGGUGGGGGUUGGAAAGUUUCGGCGGUUGGGGAUGGACUCGCGGCUUAUCAGCUUGUUGGUGGGGUAGUGGCUUACCAAGGCUUUGACGGGUAGCCGGCCUGAGAGGGUGACCGGCCACAUUGGGACUGAGAUACGGCCCAGACUCCUACGGGAGGCAGAAGUGGGGAAUAGUGCACAAUGGGCGGAAGCCUGAUGCAGCAACGCCGCGUGCGGGAGGACGGCCGUCGGGUUGUAAACCGCUUGCGCCUGUGACGAAGCGUGAGUGACGGUAAGGGGUAAAGAAGCACCGGCUAACUACGUG
rnacentral:rRNA from 1 species